GUCCGGAAAGAAAAAUUUCUGCCCUAAUACGGUGGGAGGAUGACGGUACCGGAAGAAUAAGCACCGGCUAACUACGUGCCAGCAGCCCGCGGUAAUACGUAGGGUGCGAGCGUUAAUCGGAAUUACUGGGCGUAAAGCGUGCGCAGGCGGUUCGUUAAGACAGAUGUGAAAUCCCCGGGCUUAACCUGGGAACUGCAUUUGUGACUGGCGAGCUAGAGUAUGGCAGAGGGGGGUAGAAUUCCACGUGUAGCAGUGAAAUGCGUAGAGAUGUGGAGGAAUACCGAUGGCGAAGGCAGCCCCCUGGGCCAAUACUGACGCUCAUGCACGAAAGCGUGGGGAGCAAACAGGAUUAGAUACCCUGGUAGUCCACGCCCUAAACGAUGUCAACUAGUUGUUGGGGAUUCAUUUCCUUAGUAACGUAGCUAACGCGUGAAGUUGACCGCCUGGGGAGUACGGUCGCAAGAUUAAAACUCAAAGGAAUUGACGGGGACCCGCACAAGCGGUGGAUGAUGUGGAUUAAUUCGAUGCAACGCGAAAAACCUUACCUACCCUUGACAUGGUC
rnacentral:rRNA from 1 species